UUGUGCUAGGCGGGGAGCUAGCGGUUCCCUUUUCCCGAAAUCCGCUCCAUGCGGGGCUGAACUCCCUCAAGAGGGUUUUAUUUUGAAAACGUGAGCGUCAUCAUGAUCGGUCACCGCGCAACAGAAGCCCACGAACCUCGUCAGGUCCGGAAGGAAGCAGCGAUAAGUGACGUUAUCUGUGUCGUGGAAAGAUUCCGAUCAUCUGGAUGACCUCUGUUUUCAGAAGAAUCUCGAUGGAGGGUGCACAA
rnacentral:SRP_RNA from 2 species